rnacentral:rRNA from 1 species
AUUGAACGCUGGCGGCAUGCCUUACACAUGCAAGUCGAACGGCAGCACGGAGCUUGCUCUGGUGGCGAGUGGCGAACGGGUGAGUAAUAUAUCGGAACGUACCCUAGAGUGGGGGAUAACGUAGCGAAAGUUACGCUAAUACCGCAUACGAUCUAAGGAUGAAAGUGGGGGAUCGCAAGACCUCAUGCUCGUGGAGCGGCCGAUAUCUGAUUAGCUAGUUGGUAGGGUAAAAGCCUACCAAGGCAUCGAUCAGUAGCUGGUCUGAGAGGACGACCAGCCACACUGGAACUGAGACACGGUCCAGACUCCUACGGGAGGCAGCAGUGGGGAAUUUUGGACAAUGGGCGAAAGCCUGAUCCAGCAAUGCCGCGUGAGCGAAGAAGGCCUUCGGGUUGUAAAGCUCUUUUGUCAGGGAAGAAACGGUGGGAGCUAAUAUCUCUUGCUAAUGACGGUACCUGAGGAAUAAGCACCGGCUAACUACGUGCCAGCAGCCGCGAUAAUACGUAGGGUGCAAGCGUUAAUCGGAAUUACUGGGCGUAAAGCGUGCGCAGGCGGUUUUGUAAGUCUGAUGUGAAAUCCCCGGGCUCAACCUGGGAAUUGCAUUGGAGACUGCAAGGCUAGAAUCUGGCAGAGGGGGGUAGAAUUCCACGUGUAGCAGUGAAAUGCGUAGAUAUGUGGAGGAACACCGAUGGCGAAGGCAGCCCCCUGGGUCAAGAUUGACGCUCAUGCACGAAAGCGUGGGGAGCAAACAGGAUUAGAUACCCUGGUAGUCCACGCCCUAAACGAUGUCUACUAGUUGUCGGGUCUUAAUUGACUUGGUAACGCAGCUAACGCGUGAAGUAGACCGCCUGGGGAGUACGGUCGCAAGAUUAAAACUCAAAGGAAUUGACGGGGACCCGCACAAGCGGUGGAUGAUGUGGAUUAAUUCGAUGCAACGCGAAAAACCUUACCUACCCUUGACAUGGCUGGAAUCCUUGAGAGAUCAGGGAGUGCUCGAAAGAGAACCAGUACACAGGUGCUGCAUGGCUGUCGUCAGCUCGUGUCGUGAGAUGUUGGGUUAAGUCCCGCAACGAGCGCAACCCUUGUCAUUAGUUGCUACGAAAGGGCACUCUAAUGAGACUGCCGGUGACAAACCGGAGGAAGGUGGGGAUGACGUCAAGUCCUCAUGGCCCUUAUGGGUAGGGCUUCACACGUCAUACAAUGGUACAUACAGAGCGCCGCCAACCCGCGAGGGGGAGCUAAUCGCAGAAAGUGUAUCGUAGUCCGGAUUGUAGUCUGCAACUCGACUGCAUGAAGUUGGAAUCGCUAGUAAUCGCGGAUCAGCAUGUCGCGGUGCAUAAAAGCCCGGGUCU